rnacentral:rRNA from 1 species
UAGUUGACGUCCUGGCUACGAGACGACGCUGGCGGCGUGCCUAACACAUGCAAGUCGAACGGGGAUUUUGUUUCGGCAGAAUCCCAGUGGCGAACGGGUGAGUAACGCGUAGGCAACCUGCCCCCCGGAUUGGGACAACACCCCGAAAGGGGUGCUAAUACCGGAUACGAAGAUAGCACCGCAUGGUGAUAUUUUGAAAGAUGGCCUCUGUUUACAAGCUAUCGCCGGGGGAUGGGCCUGCGUCCGAUUAGCUGGUUGGUGGGGUAACGGCCUACCAAGGCGACGAUCGGUAGCCGGUCUGAGAGGAUGAACGGCCACAUUGGGACUGAGACACGGCCCAGACUCCUACGGGAGGCAGCAGUGGGGAAUCUUCCGCAAUGGGCGAAAGCCUGACGGAGCAACGCCGCGUGGGUGAGGAAGUUCUUCGGAACGUAAAGCCCUGUUGUACAUGACGAACGUGCUUUCUAUCAACAACGGGAAGCAAUGACGGUAGUGUACGAGGAAGCCACGGCUAACUACGUGCC